UCUUUUUGUAGUUCGUGAUAUUGACCAAUUACGUUUGAGCGGCCUUUGCUCGCAUGCAGGUAAACAGUCUGUCUGGAGAGCAAAAGAGGUGGAA